rnacentral:rRNA from 1 species
GAUGAGCGCUAGCUACAGGCUUAACACAUGCAAGUCGAGGGGCAGCACAGUGUAGCAAUACACGGGUGGCGACCGGCGCACGGGUGCGUAACGCGUAUCCAACCUUCCCGAUACUCUUGGAUAGCCUUCCGAAAGGGAGAUUAAUACAAGAUGGUGUUUCACUUUCGCAUGUUAUUGAAACUAAAGAUUUAUCGGUAUCGGAUGGGGAUGCGUGACAUUAGAUAGUAGGCGGGGUAACGGCCCACCUAGUCUACGAUGUCUAGGGGUUCUGAGAGGAAGGUCCCCCACACUGGAACUGAGACACGGUCCAGACUCCUACGGGAGGCAGCAGUGAGGAAUAUUGGUCAAUGGUCGGAAGACUGAACCAGCCAAGUAGCGUGAAGGAUGAAGGUUCUAUGGAUUGUAAACUUCUUUUAUACGGGAAUAAAACACCUUACGUGUAGGGUCUUGUAUGUACCGUAUGAAUAAGCAUCGGCUAACUCCGUGCCAGCCGCCGCAGUAACAC